rnacentral:misc_RNA from 1 species
UGUGGGAGCGGGCUUGCUCGCGAAAGCGGUGCAUCAGUCAGCUUAUGUAUUGGCUGACACGCCGCCUUCGCGAGCAAGCCCGCUCCCACA